GACGAACGCUGGCGGCGUGCCUAAUACAUGCCAGUAGAACGCUGAAGAGAGGAGCUUACUCUUCUUGGAUGAGUUGCGAACGGGUGAGUAACGCGUAGGUAACCUGCCUUGUAGCGGGGGAUAACUAUUGGAAACGAUAGCUAAUACCGCAUAACAAUGGAUGACACAUGUCAUUUAUUUGAAAGGGGCAAUUGCUCCACUACAAGAUGGACCUGCGUUGUAUUAGCUAGUAGGUGAGGUAAUGGCUCACCUAGGCGACGAUACAUAGCCGACCUGAGAGGGUGAUCGGCCACACUGGGACUGAGACACGGCCCAGACUCCUACGGGAGGCAGCAGUAGGGAAUCUUCGGCAAUGGGGGCAACCCUGGCCGAGCAACGCCGCGUGAGUGAAGAAGGUUUUCGGAUCGUAAAGCUCUGUUGUAAGUCAAGAACGGGUGUGAGAGUGGAAAGUUCACACUGUGACGGUAGCUUACCAGAAAGGGACGGCUAACUACGUG
rnacentral:rRNA from 1 species